UGGGUAACCUGCCUCAAAGAGGGGAAUAGCCUCCCGAAAGGGAGAUUAAUACCGCAUAAUAUGUUUAAGUCGCAUGACUUUAACAUCAAAGGAUUUUCUUUUUGAAAUUCCACUUUGAGAUGGACCCGCGGCGCAUUAGCUAGUUGGUGAGGUAACGGCUCACCAAGGCAACGAUGCGUAGCCGACCUGAGAGGGUGAUCGGCCACAUUGGAACUGAGACACGGUCCAGACUCCGUAGGGAG
rnacentral:rRNA from 1 species